CGGCCUGUGCGGCGAGGGCGGAGACGGCGGCGGUGGCCGCGUCGCGUUCCCGCGCGGGCGGGGGCGCGCCGUCCGGGGCGGCCAGGACGC
rnacentral:tRNA from 1 species